rnacentral:rRNA from 1 species
GACGAACGCUGGCGGCGUGCCUAACACAUGCAAGUCGAGCGGAGUCGAUCGACGGAAGCCUUCGGGCGGAAGAUGGUUGACUUAGCGGCGGAUGGGUGAGUAACGCGUGGGCAACCUGCCUCGAAGACCGGGAUAACAGCCCGAAAGGGCUGCUAAUACCGGAUGUGGUCAAAGAUCCGCAUGGAUUUUUGAUUAAAGGGGAAACCCGUUUCGAGAUGGGCCCGCGUCCUAUCAGCUAGUUGGUGAGGUAAAAGCUCACCAAGGCGACGACGGGUAGCCGGCCUGAGAGGGUGACCGGCCACACUGGAACUGAGACACGGUCCAGACUCCUACGGGGGGCAGGCAGUGGGGAAUCUUCCACAAUGGGCGAAAGCCUGAUGGAGCGACGCCGCGUGAGCGAAGAAGGCCUUCGGGUUGUAAAGCUCUGUCUGGAGGGACGAAGGAAGUGACGGUACCUCCGGAGGAAGCCACGGCUAACUACGUG